rnacentral:rRNA from 1 species
UGACGGCACGGUCCUUCAUCUGCAGAGUUGUCAACUUGGUCAUUUAGAGGAGUAAAGUCGUAACAAGGUUUCCGUAGGUGAACCUGCGGAAGGAUCAUUA